GGCCGAAUGCCCGAGUGGUUAUGGGGCUGGCUUCAAGAAUCACCCGCGUCUUGGCCGCGUUGCAGGCUUCCUCCAGUUUGUCCUGGGUUCGAGUCCCAGUUCGGUCA
rnacentral:tRNA from 2 species